UCCUCAAUAGCUUAGUGGUAAAGUGGUCAAUUGUUAAUUGACUGGUCGUAGGUUCGAAUCCUAUUUGGGAAG